rnacentral:rRNA from 1 species
CCUACGGGAGGCAGCAGUAGGGAAUAUUGGGCAAUGGAGGCAACUCUGACCCAGCCAUGCCGCGUGCAGGAAGAAGGCGUUAUGCGUUGUAAACUGCUUUUAUAUAGGAAGAAAUAGACCUUGCGAGGUAAGUUGACGGUACUAUAUGAAUAAGCACCGGCUAACUCCGUGCCAGCAGCCGCGGUAAUACGGAGGGUGCAAGCGUUGUCCGGAUUUAUUGGGUUUAAAGGGUGCGUAGGCGGUUUAUUAAGUCAGUGGUGAAAGACGGUCGCUCAACGAUUGCAGUGCCAUUGAUACUGGUAGACUUGAGUGGGAUUGAGGUAGCUGGAAUGGAUAGUGUAGCGGUGAAAUGCAUAGAUAUUAUCCAGAACACCAAUUGCGUAGGCAAGUUACUAAGUCUCAACUGACGCUGAGGCACGAAAGUGUGGGUAUCAAACAGGAUUAGAUACCCUGGUAGUCCACACUGUAAACGAUGAUAACUAACUGUUGGCUUUCGGAUCAGUGGUACAGAGAAAUCGUUAAGUUAUCCACCUGGGGAUACGCGGCAACGGUGAAACUUAAGGAAUUGACGGCUGAGACGAGACGAGACGACGACGAGGGAGGAGG